rnacentral:rRNA from 1 species
UUUGAUGGUGGCUCAGAUUGAACGCUGGCGGCAGGCCUAACACAUGCAAGUCGAGCGGUAACAGAAAGAAAGCUUGCUUUCUUUGCUGACGAGCGGCGGACGGGUGAGUAAUGCCUGGGAAUAUACCCUGAUGUGGGGGAUAACUAUUGGAAACGAUAGCUAAUACCGCAUAAUCUCUUGUCUUUUACGAGAUGGGAGCAAAGAGGGGGACCUUCGGGCCUCUCGCGUCAGGAUUAGCCCAGGUGGGAUUAGCUAGUUGGUGGGGUAAUGGCUCACCAAGGCGACGAUCCCUAGCUGGUCUGAGAGGAUGAUCAGCCACACUGGAACUGAGACACGGUCCAGACUCCUACGGGAGGCAGCAGUGGGGAAUAUUGCACAAUGGGGGAAACCCUGAUGCAGCCAUGCCGCGUGUAUGAAGAAGGCCUUCGGGUUGUAAAGUACUUUCAGUUGUGAGGAAGGCGUUGGAGUUAAUAGCUUCAGCGC